rnacentral:rRNA from 1 species
UACGAAGGGGGCUAGCGUUGCUCGGAAUCACUGGGCGUAAAGCGCACGUAGGCGGGUCUUUAAGUCAGGGGUGAAAUCCCGGAGCUCAACUCCGGAACUGCCUUUGAUACUGAGGAUCUUGAGUUCGAGAGAGGUGAGUGGAACUGCGGGUGUAGAGGUGAAAUUCGUAGAUAUUCGCAAGAACACCAGUGGCGAAGGCGGCUCACUGGCUCGAUACUGACGCUGAGGUGCGAAAGCGUGGGGAGCAAAGCAGG